AUCAACGCUGGCGGCGUGCCUAACACACGCAAGUCGAACGAGAAAGAUCCCCGCAAGGGGAUUGAGUACAGUGGCGAACGGGUGAGUAACACGUGACUAACCUACCUUCCAGUGGGGGAUAACCUCGGGAAACCGGGGCUAAGACCGCAUAAUCUCGCGAGGUGAAAUUCCUUGUGAGCAAAGGGGUAAGACGCUGGUAGAGGGGGUCGCGUCCGAUUAGCUAGUUGGCGGGGGUAACGGCCCGCCAAGGCGAUGAUCGGUAGCCGGCCUGAGAGGGCGCACGGCCACACUGGAACUGAAACACGGUCCAGACUCCUACGGGAGGCAGCAGUGGGGAAUUUUGCACAAUGGGGGGAAACCCUGAUGCAGCAACGCCGCGUGGAGGAUGAAGUCCCUUGGGACGUAAACUCCUUUCGACCGGGACGAUUAUGACGGUACCGGUGGAAGAAGCCCCGGCUAACUCCGUGCCAGCAGCCGCGGUAAUACGGGGGGGGCAAGCGUUGUUCGGAAUCAUUGGGCGUAAAGGGCGCGUAGGCGGUGCGGUAAGUCUUCUGUGAAACCUCUGGGCUCAACCCAGAGCCUGCAGGGGAAACUGCCGUGCUGGAGUAUGGGAGAGGUGCGUGGAAUUCCCGGUGUAGCGGUGAAAUGCGUAGAGAUCGGGAGGAACACCUGCGGCGAAGGCGGCGCACUGGACCAUUACUGACGCUGAGAGCGCGAAAGCUAGGGGAGCAAACAGGAUUAGAUACCCUGGUAGUCCUAGCCUUAAACGAUGAAUGCUUGGUGUGACGGGUACCCAAUCCCGCCGUGCCGGAGCUAACGCGAUAAGCAUUCCGCCUGGGGAGUACGGUCGUAAGGCUGAAACUCAAAGGAAUUGACGGGGGCCCGCACAAGCGGUGGAGCAUGUGGUUCAAUUCGACGCAACGCGAAGAACCUUACCUGGGUUCAAUGCCAGUUGCACCACCCGUCAUGGGGUGUCCCCGCAAGGGGCGGCUGGCACGGUGCUGCAUGGCUGUCGUCAGUUCGUGCCGUGAGGUGUUGGGUUAAGUCCCCUAACGAACGCAACCCCCGGUGCCGGUUAUCCAUCCGGCGCAACUGCCGCGCAGAACGCGGAGGAAGGUGGGGAUGAUGUCAAGUCAGCACGGCCCUUACGCCCAGGGCUACACACACGCUACAAUGGCUGGGACAAUGAGUUGCAAACCCGCGAGGGGGAGCUAAUCUAGUAAACCCGGUCUCAGUUCGGAUAGCAGGCUGCAACCCGCCUGCUUGAAGUCGGAGUUGCUAGUAACCGCUGGUCAGCACACAGCGGUGAAUACGUUCCCGGGUCUUGUACACACCGCCCGUCACACCACGAAAGCGGGGAACACCUGAAGCCGGGUAGUCAACCUUCGGGAGACGCCUGUCGAGGGUGGGCUUCGUGAUUGGGGUG
rnacentral:rRNA from 1 species